rnacentral:tmRNA from 1 species
GGGCCUGUAAAGGUUUCGACGGGGAUUCUGAACAACCGGAAGCCAUCCGCAGUGUCUGACUGCGUCAACAACGGACAACUUAAAUUUAACUGCAGACGAUAGUCUUGCAUUUGCAGCCUAAUUAGGCUGUCGUCGCUCCUCUAGUCGCCUGUUGCUUUUGGAAGCGGCGUCGACUCAGACAGGGAACUGUCUUCUCAAAGCUUUGAGAGGAGAAAGGGAGUCAUGAAGCUACCGGAUAUGUCAUGUUUGUCAUUUGACGGUCAUAUCCGGGAAUCCAAUUCAAAUGACUGUGAUGGGAGAUGCCGAUUCGGACGAAUUUUCGGACGCGGGUUCGAUUCCCGCCAGGUCCA